GACGAACGCUGGCGGCGUGCCUAAUACAUGCAAGUAGGACGCACAGUCUAUACCGUAGCUUGCUACACCAUAGACUGUGAGUUGCGAACGGGUGAGUAACGCGUAGGUAACCUGCCUAUUAGAGGGGGAUAACUAUUGGAAACGAUAGCUAAUACCGCAUAACAGUAUGUAACACAUGUUAGAUGCUUGAAAGAUGCAAUUGCAUCGCUAGUAGAUGGACCUGCGUUGUAUUAGCUAGUAGGUAGGGUAAUGGCCUACCUAGGCGACGAUACAUAGCCGACCUGAGAGGGUGAUCGGCCACACUGGGACUGAGACACGGCCCAGACUCCUACGGGAGGCAGCAGUAGGGAAUCUUCGGCAAUGGGGGGAACCCUGACCGAGCAACGCCGCGUGAGUGAAGAAGGUUUUCGGAUCGUAAAGCUCUGUUGUUAAGGAAGAACGAGUGUGAGAAUGGAAAGUUCAUACUGUGACGGUACUUAACCAGAAAGGGACGGCUAACUACGUGCCAGCAGCCGCGGUAAUACGUAGGGGGCAAGCGUUAUCCGGAUUUACUGGGUGUAAAGGGAGCGCAGACGGCGAAGCAAGUCUGAAGUGAAAUGCAUGGGCUCAACCCAUGAAUUGCUUUGGAAACUGUUUGGCUUGAGUGUCGGAGGGGUAAGCGGAAUUCCUAGUGUAGCGGUGAAAUGCGUAGAUAUUAGGAGGAACACCGGAGGCGAAGGCGGCUUACUGGACGACAACUGACGUUGAGGCUCGAAGGCGUGGGGAGCAAACAGG
rnacentral:rRNA from 1 species